CAGGGUCAGGUGUUAAUUUGGGGAUGUCCACACACUUUCUUAUCCCAACCAAUGGCAUGAACAACUGCAUGACUCCAUGUGAGCCCUGGUGAGGAGGGUGGCAAUGAAGGAUUUCUAUCUCCAUUAUGAUGCCAUAUUUGGUGAAACCAAGAACUACAUGAUUUAUUGCAACCUGAGCUGGGUAGGGAAUGUCCCCUCCACUCCAGUGCAGGAAAUUUCCCUUUUCCUCCAAGGCAUUAUCCAGUCUGAAAUUCCCGAAGCAAUGGGAAUCCCAACUCACCCUGUGAGUAGAUGAUUCCACAGCCUCACGGACCCAAUCACCAGUAAAGGAAGUGCAGGAAAACUGUCCUAAUUGCAAGAGGGAAUUUCAGGGCAGGAGCAGAAUGUAAUCUCAUUGGGCUGUGAUUUGCCCAAGACAUUGGGAUGGAUAUUCCUGCUCUUGGGGAAAGUUCACAGAGGUCUUUCAUGGCUGGGAGGUGGUUCACAGAAAAAUUUCUUUCCUUCUUCACCAUGGAUGCCUCUAGGAGUUGUUUGCUUCACAGUUAGACAUGGAUUCUCAUGGUGGAAGAUUCACAAUUUUGUCCUUAUGGUCCCUUCUUAUUCCUCCAAUUUGUUGUUGGCAUAUUGGAAAUGCCUUCAUGGAUCUGCAGCCAUGACAGACACCCAAUUAAAAUCUGUACUCAAGGGAAAUGUGAGCUGGAGUGGAGCAGAUUCUGUAUCAGAUUCAGAAGCUGAUGAGUGCAUGCAAGCACAGGAAAGAAACCCCUUAACUCCAUUGCCCCACAGUGGGGCUUGGGCAUCCAUAUGAAGGUGGAAUCUCAACUCCUGCAGCAUCUACUUUACAAUGCUAAUCUCAAUAAUGUUUGAUAGAGCAGACAUCAGCCUCUAGGCUGCACUUCAAAGGCAGCAACUCCAAACGCCCCGCACAGCUGAAUGGAGACACUUCCAUUCAACUCAGUAGAUCCACACACCUGUGCACAUUUCGGAUUUGUUGGUGACUGUGCCACUCCAGGAAUCUGCAUGAGUUUCUUUCUUGCCCACCUUCCUUGAUGCUCCUGCAUGUUGCCUCAUGAAGACUACCCCUUCUUUGCUGUCGCUAACCCUCCUGAGGGACUGCGGUCACUCCAUGCAGGUGAGUCAGCCCUUUCCUAAUUUGUCUAUAUAUAUCUACUCAAUUUUCCCUUUUGAUCAGCCUGGCUACUGUCAGAUUAUGCUCUGGUUUCUUUGCAGCCCCGACCAAUCCACAAAGACCCUCAGUUGAACUCCUGCAGUCCAUAGACCUGGAGAAAUAAAUUGUGACAUUGAAGUGUAUUGCAUAUGACCACAGGCCCAAAGGAGUGACAACCAAGUGGCAAGGAAAACCAGACCUUGCAAGUGAGCGAAGGAUGGAGGAUGGUCCAUACAGAGCUAGCCACCACUUUGAAACAACUAUGGGCAAAUGGGAAGAGGCAAAUUACACUUGUGAGGAGGAGCAUAAAGAGAUAGAGCAAAAGGUGACCAAGAAGACCAUCAGCAAAGGUGAACUAUAGAAUGAUCUACUGUAGCAGCAAUAUUUAUUUUCCUGGCAAUUUGAUAAAGGCCUAAAUGUACCAGCUGGCUUAUUCAGAGCAUCAGGGAGAGAUGAUACAGGAACAGAUGGACCAAUCAUGGAUGGGAUGUUGGGGUGUUGCACUACAUAUCCACAUAGUCUUACACAUAUGGCAGCGAGGCUCGGAUACCAAACUAAACACACUAAUGGGUUCGUUCCAGCAUGGCAAUUUUUAUCUCUUCUGGAGUAGGAGAGGAUGGGGGUCAUUGGAUGGAUGGAUGGAGAGAAAGAGAGAGAUGAGCUGAGUGGGGGUAGAUGGCUAGAGAGAUGGACAGACAGACAGAUCAAUGAUUCUGGAGGGUUUCUGUCAGCACCCCCUGUGACUCUGUUUCUCCCUGAAGUCUGGAUGCUCCCCAGUGCUCCCACAGUGACACUUCACAUCCUGCCCCCCUGCCCAAGCCCAGGAGCAAGUGACACUGUCACCUUGCUCUGUUCCACCAGCGGCUACUACCCCCGGGGCCUGCAGCUGACCUGGCAUCAGGUGGGAAGGAGAGAGAGGGCACCCAGCUCAGACUCCUCCAGGGGAAAGAUGGAAGAUUCAGCUCCUUCAGCACCCUGACAAUGUCUCAGGCAGAGUGGGAUGAGCUGGGGGAGUACAGCUGCCAUGUGACCCACCCUUGGACUGGUAGCCCCCAGCUCAGUACUAUCAGCAAGUGUGCAGCCUGUGGGGGAGCAUCCCCCUGCCCAACCUGUAGCUCCUCAAGCCAUCUCUGCAAGCCUUGCUCACUCGAGAUGAAGCCCUCCUGACUUGCCUGGAAGUGGGCUGUGAGCUGGACAGGGAGCUGGACAGUGCCAUCUGGACUGCCAACGCCGUCGUGGGAGAAGCCAAAAAACACAACAACCAGACCCAAAGUCUCCUGAGCCACCUAGCCAUCCCCAGAGAAACCUGGGACUCUGGGAGCAGCAUCCUCUGUAGAGUGACUCAUCCCUGCUCGCUGUUCCAGGGCAUGGAGAAGACCAUCCAGAAGCUCAGGGGUGCCAGCAUAGCCAAGGCUCCUUCUGUAUCUCUCCUUCUCCCAUCGCCGGUGCGACCCAGCCCCAAUGCUGAGGUGUGGCUUCCCUGUGAGGUCUCUGGUUUCUUCCCAUCCGAAUUGCUCAUUGAAUGGAAAAGGGACAACCACAGCAUCGAGUCCUCUGGAUACAUUACUCUGCUCCCAGUGGCUGAAGAGAGGAAUUCCCAAAGCUGCCUGAAAAACCCAGUGUCUCAGUGGGAAAGUGGGGUAGUAUAUACCUGCAUGGUAGGGUGUUAUUUCUUGCCGUCUAUGCACUAUACCAGCAGGACUGUGUUAGGUGAGUCUAGAUGCCAGAAAGAAUUUCCUAGCAGUGGGAAGAGGUGGUGAGCUCUGUAAGUCUGUGGAACCAUUUUCCCUAAGGGAAAGGAGAACCCAUUUCUCGGGCUUUCUAAAACUAGGACUGGGUGGCCACCUGGGGAAAUCAACUAGAAGGAACAAUUCAGUAAUGACUUUUCAUCUCAGUCUGAUGAUACUGUGGAGGGAUAUGAGGGUGCAGUGCUGUGAGCUGGUGAUAUCUCAUCAUGAUAUGGUGAUGUCUAGCUUCACUCCCCUGCAUUGUGGUGUUGCUAUGUGACGUGGCUGUGUUGCGACAUGGUGGCUUUAUGGCACGGAGUAAUUGCA